ensembl:lncRNA
ACCAGAGUAAGUAAUGCACGUGAUCUGAACUGUUCUGAGCUGUGCCAGAUACACGAGGUGUGCUCAGCUGUGACUCCUUCACUGGGCAUCAUCUCAGAAUGAAGUGUCCUCAAUGCAAUCACGUGUCUUCAGAAAAGGCAAAAUUCUGCUGUGAGUGUGGCAACAAGCUACCAUCUCUCUCAACUGAGACAGCACCAGACAAGUCGCAAGAGUCUCAAUCAUCCUCAAACAUCCCACAUGGCACUGAUAAAGAAAAGACUGAAUCAGAAGUACUGGAUUACCAGAAUGCUAGUGUAUCUCCAACACAAUCAAAUGAAGAUAUCAACAACUCUAACCCAAAGAAAGAGAAGAAACAUGUUUCCAGUGAAGAUUCACCAGCGAAUGCCCAACAUAGUCAGGAGCAGCAGAAUUCUGAUUUUGCUGAUGACCUGAAUUGCAGUGAAAGUGAUGAUACAGAAAGUCAGUAUGUUGAGCCUCCAAAAAGGUGAAUGAAGAAUCAUGUAGUUAUAAAAGUACAAAUGUUGUUUUUUCCCCCUUGGAUUAUUAUCUUACCAAUAUUUUUAAAUUGCAGAAAUCCAGCAUCAGAUCAACAAAUAAGUCCCAGAGACAGACUCACCAUUUGUUUUCAUGCAGUCCUUUCAAAAGACUUCAAGUUUAUACCAAACAAGGAUUGUAUCUUCAUAAGAGCCGGUGAUCACAUUGGUGGCUGGGAAAAAAAUUUGGUUGAACUACAAGUGUUAGGGUUAGUAAAGGACCAUUUAUUGAUUAUUCAUAUCUGGAAGCAGUAGCUUAAAAAUGAUUUGAUUUCAGGGAUCUCGGAGAGCAUGGAUUGCUUGUGGAAGGGAAAUAUAUAUGCAAGAAGUUUGAUGCUGAAACUGUGUCCAUUCCAUACAAAUAUGUUGUGUAUAAAGAAGAAAAUCACAACAAGUAUGAAUUACAUUAUGAAUACAUCUACAAACUGGAUUCAAAAGAAACCACCAACAGAUGUCUGUUUGUCAAAUCGCAUCUCCUAAAUAGUGACGGUAGGUAAAUUUCAUACUCAAGUAAAA